rnacentral:lncRNA from 1 species
UGAAGUAUUGGAUAGAGGAUAUGAGAGAAGAUUCUCUCCAUUGCUUUCUUGGCUUUAACACUUCAGUGAAGCAAUCUGCCUUGUUGAGAGGCCCACAUGGCAAGGAACUGAGGGCAGCCCCUGACCAACAGCCAGCCAGGAACUGAAGAUGUCAGUCCAACUACCCCUGAUGAACUGAAUCUUGAACCACGUGAGCUUGGAGUGCAUCCUUCCCAGUUGUGCCAUGAGAUGAGAGCACGGCACCAGUCAACAGUGUGACUGUUCUUUGAGAAAGACACCAAAGCAGAGGGGACAGCUAAGCCAUAUCCAGAUUUUUCACCCACAAAACUGAGAUAAUACAUGUGUGCUUUUUAAACUGUUAAAUUUUGGGACAAUUUGUUAUGCCACAAUAUAUAAUUAAUACACAAGGUUUUUGGCAACUGGAAGAAUAAAAAUAGUAUUUAUGAUAUCACAAGAUGAGUGUAGGUAGAGGGUUUCUUUACAGGGAGAUUUCAGGGUUUCUUUUUUUUUUUGGUGAUGGAGUCUCGCCCUGUUGCCCAGGCUGGAGUGAAUUGGCUCAAUCUCGGCUCACUGCAACCUCCACUUCCUGGGUUCAGGUGAUUCUCCCACCUUAGCCUCCUGAGUAGCUGAGAUUACAGGCACCUGCCAUCAUGCCUGGCUAAUUUUUAUAGAGACGGGGUUUCACCAUGUUGGCCAGGCUGGUCUCGAACUCCUGACCUCAGAUGAUCCACCCAGGCUGGAGUGAACUGGCGCAAUCUCGGCUCACUGCAACCUCCACUUCCUGGGUUCAGGUGAUUCUCCCACCUUAGCCUCCUGAGUAGCUGAGAUUACAGGCACCUGCCAUCAUGCCUGGCUAAUUUUUAUAGAGACGGGGUUUCACCAUGUUGGCCAGGCUGGUCUCGAACUCCUGACCUCAGAUGAUCCGCCUGCCUCGGCCUCCCAAAGUGUUGGGAUUACAGGCGUGAGCCUCUGCACCCAGCUGAUUGCAAGUUUUGGAUAUGUACAAUGCACAUAAGUAUCUAUUUUUGUGAUAAUACUUCUCACUAAUUUUUCAAAUGGUAGUUAGCUACCAAUAUAUAGAAUCUAAAUACUCUCCAUGAGCCACCUUAAAACAAAGUUAUUUAAGGCAUCUUCAAAAAUCAGAUUCUAGGCCGGGUAUGAUGGCUCACACCUGUAAUCCCAGCACUUUAAGAGGCCGAGGCAGGUGGAUGGCUUGAGCCCAGGAGUUCAAGACCAGCCUGAGCAACAUACAGAAACCCCGUCUCUAUUAAAAACACAAAAAUUAGCUGUGCGUGGUGGUGCUUGCCUGUAGUCCUAGCUACUUGGGAGGCUAAAGUGGGAGGAUCACUUGAGCCCAGGAAGUUGAGGCUGCAGCGAGCCGUGAUCACGCCGCCGCACUCCAGUGUGGGUGAUGGGAGUGAGACCCUGUCUAAAAAAAAAAAAAAAAUCAGAUGUUAUAAUAAUUUUAGUCAUAAUUAUUUCUGGAAAUGGAAAACAUCAAAUACAGUACCAACCCAUGAAUUCUGAUGUCUCACUUUUAGAAUUUCUCUAUUCUUUGCUUUCAAUUUGCACAAAAACC